GUUAGAGUCCACACGCCCAGGCGCUUAGUGAUGAUGUCAGCUCCGGUUGCCAUGCUGAGUCGGAAGUGGGAACCCUUUGGCCCCUGAGACUGUCGUGUCGUCGCUGCUGGCCCUUCAGGCUCUGUGUUGUAUUUUUAUGGGGAAAAGCCUUUCAGAGAGCUCUGUACAUCCCAUUGAACCACUGAGUCCACUUGAUCUUGAAUGAGGAUAUGUAACCAGAAGAGUACAAAUGCAGGCUAAGUCAGCCCUUCUAAACACCUUUGAGCCCCUCCCCCUAGGUCUGGAUGGAGGAUACCUUAAAGUGAAAUGACAGACCAGGAGAAUAACAACAACAUCUCAAGUAAUCCCUUUGCUGCUCUUUUUGGCUCCCUGGCUGAUGCCAAGCAGUUUGCAGCAAUCCAAAAAGAGCAGCUGAAGCAGCAAUCUGAUGAACUCCCAGCUAGCCCAGAUGAUUCGGAUAAUAGUGUGUCAGAGAGCCUGGAUGAAUUUGAUUACUCUGUGGCUGAGAUCAGCCGCUCAUUCCGGUCACAGCAAGAGAUAUGUGAGCAACUCAACAUCAAUCACAUGAUCCAAAGGAUCUUCCUCAUUACUCUGGAUAACAGUGAUCCUAGCUUGAAAAGUGGGAAUGGCAUCCCCAGCCGUUGUGUGUAUUUGGAAGAAAUGGCAGUAGAACUGGAAGAUCAAGACUGGCUUGAUAUGAGCAACGUUGAGCAGGCCAUCUUUGCUCGCUUAUUACUUCAAGAUCCAGGAAACCACUUGAUUAACAUGACUUCUUCUACAACAUUAAAUCU
rnacentral:lncRNA from 1 species